rnacentral:rRNA from 1 species
UGAGCAAUCUGCCCUUCACAUCGGAAUAACCAUUGGAAACGAUGGCUAAUACCGAAUACGACCUCCUUUCGCAUGAUCGAAGGUGGAAAGCUCCGGCGGAGAAGGAUGAGCUCGCGGCCUAUCAGCUAGUUGGUGUGGGUAAUGGCCCACCAAGGCGACAACGGGUAGCCGGCCUGAGAGGGUGACCGGCCACACCGGGACUGAGACACGGCCCAGACUCCUACGGGAGGNAG